ensembl:snoRNA
UCUCUCAAAUAAAAUCUUUUAAAAAAUUAAAAAUAACUUUAAAAAGGUAGAAGUUCUGUGGCUCUAUUGAAACACAAGUCAUGCUUCCAUCACAGCAGGUUUAUUGCAGUGGUGACAAUGAGACUUGUAACAUUU